rnacentral:rRNA from 1 species
CUUUACUAUAGCCUGGAAUUGUGUUCGGGCUUCGCUUACGCAGGAUAGGUGGGAGGCUAUGAAGUUCUGCUUGUGGGCAGAAUCGAGCCAACGGUGAGAUACCACUUUAGCGAGGCUAGAAUUCUAACCCUUGCCCAUGAUCUGGGAAGGAGACAGUUUCAGGGGGGUAGUUUGACUGGGGCGGUCGCCUCCUAAAAGGUAACUGAGGCGCGCAAAGGUUCCCUCAGUCUGGACGGAAAUCAGACUUUAGAGUGUAAAGGCAAAAGGGAGCUUGACUGUAAGACCUACAAGUCGAGCAGGGUGGAAACACGGUCUUAGUGAUCCGACGGUGCCGCAUGGAAGGGCCGUCGCUCAACGGAUAAAAGUUA